rnacentral:rRNA from 1 species
AUACGUAGGGAGCGAGCGUUGUCCGGAAUUACUGGGUGUAAAGGGAGCGUAGGCGGGAGUGCAAGUCAGAUGUGAAAUACAUGGGCUCAACCCAUGGGCUGCAUUUGAAACUGCAUUCCUUGAGUGAAGUAGAGGUAAGCGGAAUUCCUGGUGUAGCGGUGAAAUGCGUAGAUAUCAGGAGGAACACCAGUGGCGAAGGCGGCUUACUGGACACUAACUGACGCUGAGGCACGAAAGCAUGGGGAGCAAACAGGAUUAGAUACCCUGGUAGUCCAUGCCGUAAACGAUGAUUACUAGGUGUAGGGGGUAUCGACCCCUUCUGUGCCGGAGUUAACACAAUAAGUAAUCCACCUGGGGAGUACGGCCGCAAGGUUGAAACUCAAAGGAAUUGACGGGG